rnacentral:rRNA from 1 species
GGAACGAACGCUGGCGGCAUGCCUAAUACAUGCAAGUCGAACGAGAUCUUCGGGUCUAGUGGCGCACGGGUGCGUAACGCGUGGGAAUCUACCCUUGGGUUCGGAAUAACAGUUGGAAACGACUGCUAAUACCGGAUGAUGACGAAAGUCCAAAGAUUUAUCGCCCAGGGAUGAGCCCGCGUAGGAUUAGCUAGUUGGUGAGGUAAAGGCUCACCAAGGCUACGAUCCUUAGCUGGUCUGAGAGGAUGAUCAGCCACACUGGGACUGAGACACGGCCCAGACUCCUACGGGAGGCAGCAGUAGGGAAUAUUGGACAAUGGGGGCAACCCUGAUCCAGCAAUGCCGCGUGAGUGAUGAAGGCCUUAGGGUUGUAAAGCUCUUUUACCCGAGAUGAUAAUGACAGUAUCGGAGAAUAAGCUCCGGCUAACUCCGCGCCAGCACGCCGC